GGAGGGUGCAAGCGUUGUUCGGAAUCACUGGGCGUAAAGGGCGCGUAGGUGGUUUGAUAAGUCAGAUGUGAAAGCCCACGGCUUAACCGUGGAAGUGCAUUUGAUACUGUUAGACUUGAGUACCAGAGGGGAAAGUGGAAUUCCCGGUGUAGAGGUGAAAUUCGUAGAUAUCGGGAGGAAUACCGGUGGCGAAGGCGACUUUCUGGCUGGAUACUGACGCUGAGGCGCGAAAGCGUGGGGAGCAAACAGGAUUAGAUACCCUGGUAGUCCACGCUGUAAACGAUGUCAACUAGAUGUAGGGGGUGUUGAUCCAUUCUGGGUCGCAGCUAACGCAUUAAGUUGACCGCCUGGGGAGUACGGUCGCAAGAUUA
rnacentral:rRNA from 1 species